AGAGUUUGAUCCUGGCUCAGGAUGAACGCUAGCGGCGUGCCUAACACAUGCAAGUCGAACGUGAGGAAGACUUCGGUCUUCUGAAAGUGGCGGACGGGUGAGUAAUACGUAGGUAACCUGCCUUGAAGUGGGGGAUAACCAUUGGAAACGAUGGCUAAUACCGCAUGGUUCUGUACAUACGGGAGUAUGAACAGGUAAAGCUCCGGCGCUUCAAGAGGGGCCUGCGUCCGAUUAGUUAGUUGGUGAGGUAAAAGCUCACCAAGGCGAUGAUCGGUAGCUGGUCUGAGAGGACGAUCAGCCACACGGGAACUGAGACACGGUCCCGACUCCUACGGGGGGCAGCAGUGAGGAAUAUUCGUCAAUGGGGGCAACCCUGAACGAGCAACGCCGCGUGGAGGAUGAAGGCCCUUGGGUUGUAAACUCCUUUUCUGUGGGAAGAGGAAGGACGGUACCACAGGAAUAAGUCACGGCUAACUACGUGCCAGCCGCCGCGGUAAUAC
rnacentral:rRNA from 1 species